CUGCUGCCUCCCGUAGGAGUCUGGUCCGUGUCUCAGUACCAGUGUGGGGGGCCUUCCUCUCAGAACCCCUACGCAUCGUCGUCGU
rnacentral:rRNA from 1 species